GUAUUCCGCUCCAUAGCGUAUAUUAAAGUUGUUGCAGUUAAAAAGCUCGUAGUUGAAUUUCGGGGUCAGUAGGCUGGUCGUGCCACAGGUACGUACUGGUCUCACUGAUUCCUCCUUCCUGAUGAACCGUAAUGCCAUUAAUUUGGUGUUGCGGGGAAACUGGACUGUUACUUUGAAAAAAUUAGAGUGUUUAAAGCAGGCUAACGCUUGAAUACAUUAGCAUGGAAUAAUGAAAUAGGACGUUCGAUCCUAUUUUGUUGGUUUCUAGGAUUGACGUAAUGAUUAAUAGGGAUAGUUGGGGGCAUUAGUAUUCAAUUGUCAGAGGUGAAAUUCUUGGAUUUAUUGAAGACUAACUACUGCGAAAGCAUUUGCCAAGGAUGUUUUCAUUAAUCAAGAACGAAAGUUAGGGGAUCGAAGACGAUCAGAUACCGUCGUAGUCUUAACCAUAAACUAUGCCGACUAGGAAUCGGAUGAUGUUAAUUUUUUAAUGACUCAUUCGGCGCCUUACGGGAAAC
rnacentral:rRNA from 1 species